UGAGGAAUAUUGGGCAAUGGGCGCAAGCCUGACCCAGCAACGCCGCGUGGAGGAUGAAGGUCUUUGGAUUGUAAACUCCUUUUGCAGGGGAAGAGAGCGGACGGUACCCUGAGAAUCAGUCACGGCUAACUACGUGCCAGCAGCCGCGGUAAUACGUAGGUGACAAGCGUUAUCCGGAAUUACUGGGCGUAAAGCGCACGCAGGCGGCUGCGUAAGUCUGACGUGAAAUCUCUCGGCUUAACCGGGAGCGGUCGUUGGAAACUAUGCGGCUUGAGGCGAUGAGAGGGGUGUGGAAUUCCCGGUGUAGUGGUGGAAUGCGUAGAUAUCGGGAGGAACAUCAGUGGCGAAAGCGGCACCCUGGCAUUAGCCUGACGCUCAGGUGCGAAAGCGUGGGGAGCGAA
rnacentral:rRNA from 1 species